GAGCAGAAGAAAAACCGGAAUCUUUGCUUCCUGAAGUCUUCCUCCUAAUGCUAGCAAGGUACCAUUCAUGGGGAAAGGAGGUACCCAUAUCUGUCUGGACAUCAGGCAAUUAUUUUCACCAUAAGAACAUGACAGGAGAUGUAAGCCAUAGCUGAAAUAUAUUCCCUCUCCACCGUUCCUCAGGAAUACAGCUGUUUCACAAGGUAGGAGUUCCCGCCUACACUACAAUCAAGCAUGCAGAAGCUACAGCACGGAACUGACAUUAGGCUGGCCAAUCAACAACUACCAGCUUCUCUGCUUUUCCCAUUUUUCUGAGAGAGAGAUUCCAUUUGCCUUUUCCCAGGACCUCACCCAUCCUCAGAAAUCUCCAUGGAUGGAAGGCUAGAGAGCUGAACUGAAUACCGCUUACAUUUUCCGAGACCCUUCCGGGAGGGACUGAAUCAAUCACAAGCAUAAUUCAACAUCGGAUUUGCCUGAUCUGCAGGGGGUGUGAUCUUCAGGUUGAAGAAUGCUGUGAUAACACUUUACCUGCCUUGAGAACGGGCAUGAAAGUCUGCCUCCGCUCUGGCAGAGACGGUGUCCCCAGGUUUGCCUGCUCCAAGACGAUGACAACUGGUGCCUGCCUGCUCUGUAGUGCGUUUUCCAGCAGGUCAUGGGUGGUGGUGUGCAUCCUGCCUGUCUGUUUAGGCAUAGCCUAGAGAAAGGUUCAUCCUUGUUUUUCUGCAUUGUUCAGUUCAGAAACUGCAGGAGAGGAAUACUCCACGUGGCUAUUCAGCUUCAGACUCAUUACACCUGUCUCUUGCUGAGGCUUGCAUCAAUAAUACAAAACUCAGGAAUAAAGUGGCCCGGUUUUAUGCUGCCCACUCAUUAAAGUCUUCCUAUUUCACAGCAAUAUCUCUGCAAAUAUUUUUGGCAAUAUGCCAUUUUAGCUAUCUGGAAAGGUGUCACAUAUUGCUCUGUCAUGCAUCCCCUGUCAAGAGUCUCACCAUGAAAAAACAGGGUAAAUUAGCCUGCUCUGGGCUCUGUCAUGGCUAGAAGCUGCUGCUAAUAGCAGGUCGGUUUGGUCAUCCUGAGGCCUCAGUGACUGCCUUGUAGACAUGCCCUUAGAUUUGGCCCAGUGUAUAGACUUAAGGUGCGAGCUAAAUGUGGUGGUGAUUUUUACGUUUUACUGCUGUUCAAUUUCAACAUGCUUUUUCAGAGCUUGUGUAAGGCAGGCAGGCAUAGCAUUCCCCUGAGAAAUUUCACUGUAUGGUAAGUGAUAUUUAUGCAUAUUUGCUAGCAGCAAUCCAGUUCCUGAAGUAGGCAGGAUAGCGAGGAUGGAGGUCUUAGAAUAGGCAAACCACUUAUCCCCGAUUCAUCUCUCACAUGGUAUCUGUAAACCUAAAGCGCAGGUAUAUCUAGUAAUGGUGUUUCACAUCAGAAACUGGAGCAAGUUGGUAAUGGGAGGGUUUGAUUGCAGAAUUCUCAUAUCAAAAAAUGUCUUUAAAAGCAUGGUAAAUUGUUAGCACUGCCAGUUUCCAAUGUAGAAGCGAUUUACCAGUAUUACCCUGAGUGGGUGAUCUUUUUCCCCAAUUUAGGAGUUCUGUGUGAGUUUAUCUUGAGGCUCCAGACCACAUCCACUACAUUGAACACUAUUCUCAAAGGGAUGGUUGUUCCUUGUUAUUAGCAAAAUUUCUUAAAUAAAUAUUUAGUGAUUACUAGGAAAAAAAAUCAUCUAGACAAAUUUUUAAAAAGCCAUUGUGGAUGUCCUGCACAAAAUACCCAAGAUGUCAUGUUGAAAGCAGCAACUGUCCCAUUAGUACAGUGAUCUAUAGGAUCACUGGGUAGUCACCUAACUGACCCAAUAUUGCAAACAUAUGAGAGUCCGGGUACUUCUUUAUUCUUCCAAAGUUGCUGUUACCUGUUAAAUUGCACCGUAGAUAGCAGUAAUUUUCCCUCCUUCUCCCUCACCCUCCAAAAAUCUCUGAUGCUUCACAAUGCAUUGCCAUUUAUUGCUCAUUUUGCCACAUGAACACUCACAUAAAGCUGACUGACUAAUCUCUGCUGUUAAUGCACAUAAACGUUAUUCAGAUCAGUAAGGAUAAAUUCUCAGUAUCUGAAUCAUUCUUAGCCUGUGUAAACGGAGUCUCAUUCAGGUGUUUAACACUCUAGCCUAAGUGUAGCUGUACAUCAAAGUCAUUUAGUAAAUGAGUGAUUUCUGAGUUUUAGUCUUCAGAAAGGAAUGUGGGAGAGGGG